rnacentral:rRNA from 1 species
GAUGAACGCUGGCGGCGUGCCUAAUACAUGCAAGUCGAGCGAACGGACGAGAAGCUUGCUUCUCUGAUGUUAGCGGCGGACGGGUGAGUAACACGUGGAUAACCUACCUAUAAGACUGGGAUAACUUCGGGAAACCGGAGCUAAUACCGGAUAAUAUUUUGAACCGCAUGGUUCAAAAGUGAAAGACGGUCUUGCUGUCACUUAUAGAUGGAUCCGCGCUGCAUUAGCUAGUUGGUAAGGUAACGGCUUACCAAGGCAACGAUGCAUAGCCGACCUGAGAGGGGGAUCGGCCACCCUGGAACUGAGACACGGUCCAGACUCCUACGGGGGGCAGCAGUAGGGAAUCUUCCGCAAUGGGCGAAAGCCUGACGGAGCAACGCCGCGUGAGUGAUGAAGGUCUUCGGAUCGUAAAACUCUGUUAUUAGGGAAGAACAUAUGUGUAAGUAACUGUGCACAUCUUGACGGUACCUAAUCAGAAAGCCACGGCUAACUACGUG